CUACGGGGGGCAGCAGUGAGGAAUAUUGGACAAUGGUCGAAAGACUGAUCCAGCCAUGCCGCGUGCAGGAUGACUGCCCUAUGGGUUGUAAACUGCUUUUAUACGGGAAGAAAAACACCUACGUGUAGGUGACUGACGGUACCGUAAGAAUAAGGACCGGCUAACUCCGUGCCAGCAGCCGCGGUAAUACGGAGGGUCCAAGCGUUAUCCGGAAUCAUUGGGUUUAAAGGGUCCGUAGGCGGGCUAUUAAGUCAGAGGUGAAAGUUUGCAGCUCAACUGUAAAAUUGCCUUUGAUACUGAUAGUCUUGAAUUGUAGUGAAGUGGUUAGAAUAUGUGGUGUAGCGGUGAAAUGCAUAGAUAUCACAUAGAAUACCGAUUGCGAAGGCAGAUCACUAACUAUAUAUUGACGCUGAGGGACGAAAGCGUGGGGAGCGAACGGGAUUAGAUACCCGUGUAGUC
rnacentral:rRNA from 1 species